rnacentral:rRNA from 1 species
ACACGGACCAAGAAGUCUAACAUGCAUGCAAGUUUAAGGGGCUUUGCAAACCCUGGAGGCGAAAUUAAGGUGAAGGCUAGAGUGUUGUCUAACCUAGGCAGGAUCCCAGCUCUGCGGGGCUGGGCGCACUGCCGGCCCGUCCAACAACUGGUGGCAACAUCAGUUGGGACGGAGCUAGAGCAUGCAUGUUGGGACCCGAAAGAUGGUGAACUAUGCCUGGUCAGGACGAGGCCAGAGGAAACUCUGGUGGAAGUCCGUAACGAUUCUGACGUGCAAAUCGAUCGUUGGACCUGGGUAUAGGGGCGAAAGACUAAUCGAACCAUCUAGUAGCUGG